GCGGACGUGGUGGAAUGGCAGACACGUAGCGUUCAGGGCGCUAUGGGCGCAAGCCCGUGAGAGUUCAAAUCUCUCCGUCCGCACCA
rnacentral:tRNA from 1 species